ACAAAAAGUAAGUAAGGGCACAUGGCGGAUGCCUUGGCUCUCGGAGGCGAUGAAGGACGUGAUAAGCUGCGAUAAGCUGCGGGUAGGUGCAAAUGACCUUUGAUCCGCGGAUUUCCGAAUGGGACAACCCGGUACCUUGAAGAGGUACCAUUCCACAAUGUGGAAGGCUAACGCAGGGAACUGAAACAUCUUAGUACCUGCAGGAAAAGAAAAUAAAUAAUGAUUCCCCCAGUAGUGGCGAGCGAACGGGGAAUAGCCCAAACCAUCCAUGUUACGGCAUGGGUGGGGUUGUAGGACCACGCCGUGGCAAGAAAGUUGGUGAGCAGAAUGUUCUGGAAAGUACAGCCAUAGAGCAUGACAGCUGCGUAUGCGAAGCCAAGCGAAGCCUAGUGGUAUCCUGAGUAGCGCGGAGCACGAGGAAUUCUGCGUGAAUCUGCCGGGACCAUCCGGUAAGGCUAAAUACUCCCGAGAGACCGAUAGUGAACCAGUACUGUGAAGGAAAGGUGAAAAGCACUUCGAACAGAAGAGUGAAAUAGUUCCUGAAACCAUGUGCCUACAAGCGGUCGGAGCACCUUCUGGUGUGACGGCGUGCCUUUUGCAUAAUGAACCUACGAGUUACUUUUUCCGGCGAGGUUAAGGAUUUCAGAUCUGCAGCCGAAGCGAAAGCGAGUCUGAACAGGGCGUAUAGUCGGAAGGAGUAGACGCGAAACCAAGUGAUCUACCCUUGGGCAGGUUGAAGGAUGGGUAACACCAUCUGGAGGACCGAACCAAUAAGCGUUGAAAAGCUUCUGGAUGACCUGAGGGUGGGGGUGAAAGGCUAAUCAAACUUGGAGAUAGCUCGUACUCCCCGAAAUGCAUUUAGGUGCAGCCUUGACUUAUACUGGCAUGAGGUAGAGCGACUGAUAAGAUGCGAGGGCUUCACCGCCUAUCAAGUCUUGACAAACUCCGAAUGCGUGUCAGUUCUAUGUCAGGAGUGAGGGCAUGGGUGCUAAGGUCCAUGUCCUAAAGGAGAACAAUCCGGACCAACAGCUAAGGUCCCGAAAUGAAUACUAAGUUGAACUAACGAAGUCAGAUUGCUAAGACAGCUAGGAUGUUGGCUUGGAAGCAGCCAUUCAUUUAAAGAGUGCGUAACAGCUCACUAGUCGAGGAGUUUGGCGUGGAUAAUAAUCGGGCAUAAGUAUUCUACCGAAGCUUUGGGAUGAGAAAUCAUCGGUAGGGGAGCAUUCCACUCGGCGUCGAAGGUGAAGCGCGAGCUUUGCUGGAGCGUGUGGAAAAGCAAAUGUAGGUAUAAGUAACGAUAAAGGGGGUGGGAAACCCCCUCGCCGAAAGACUAAGGUUUCCUGAUCAACGCUAAUCGGAUCAGGGUAAGUCGGGUCCUAAGGCUCAGCCGAACGGCGAGGCCGAUGGCAGAACCGGUUAAUAUUCCGGUACUACCUGUGGGAGUGACGUGGAGACGGAGUCGUGACAGCGCCGCGGACUGACGGAAUAGUCCGUUGAAGGGUGUAGAUGCUGAUUGUUCCAGGCAAAUCCGGAGCAAGAGUCGAACCUGAUAGUAUGGAGCGUUCUUAGAACAAUCCAAUA
rnacentral:rRNA from 1 species